AACGAACGCUGGCGGCAUGCCUAACACAUGCAAGUCGAACGAGAUCCUUCGGGGUCUAGUGGCGCACGGGUGCGUAACGCGUGGGAAUCUGCCCUUAGGUUCGGAAUAACAGUUAGAAAUGACUGCUAAUACCGGAUGAUGACGUUAAGUCCAAAGAUUUAUCGCCUGAGGAUGAGCCCGCGUGGGAUUAGCUAGUUGGUGUGGUAAAGGCGCACCAAGGCGACGGUACUUAGCUGGUCUGAGAGGAUGGUCAGAGACACUGAGAGGGAGAAACGGUGCAGAAUACUACAGGAGGCGGGAGAGGGUAAUAUAGGAAAAUGGGGUGAGGGCAGAACCAGUAAUGACGCGAGAGUGAUGUAGGCCUGGGGGUAGGAAAGCUCGUUUAUCCGAUAUUAUAAUGACGGUAUCGAGAGAAUAAGCCCCGGCUAACUCCGUG
rnacentral:rRNA from 1 species